rnacentral:lncRNA from 7 species
GAGUCAUCGGGCAGCGACACAUCCAGGGGGGACAGAGGCACAGCUUCCAAAGGACAUCCAUCGCCACAGCUGUGUGUCUGUCUCCCUGUGGCUGCACGUGGAAUCUGUAGGUCUGUGCGCUGCCCCCCAGCAUGGGGACCUGUCGGACCCCCGGCUCACCCCUCUCCUGCUCACAGGGGAAGGCAUACAAAGCAUUCCCUUCUCUUUUUGCCUCCCCACCCCGAUGCCCGGACACGAGGAUGCUCAGCUGUGGCUCCUCGGUCCCCACAGCCUCAGCCCACGCACCCACCUCCCCCGGGAAGGAGGGGAUGUGGGCUUUGAUGUGGGGAAUUCAGGCGCAUCCUCGGCGGGCCGGGAUGAGUCACGGCGGCGGCAGCAGCGCUGGAAGAGCAUCAGCACACGAUCCCCCCCGAGGCUCCGCGGCUCCGCAUCGCCCUCCGCCAGCGGUUCCGCUCCGCACGCACGCAGCUCUCUGCCCUCGGGAAAUGCCACGUCCUCCUGCCAGGUGGAGGAGCAGCGAGGUGGGCGCCGGCCCAGCAGGUGACAGUGGGACCGCAGCGCCGCAGCCCCAAACCGACCCCCUCCAUCCCCCCCUCGUAACGCAGGAGCUCAGCGCCACGGUCCUCAAGCAGCAGCGGUUAACUCCCUGAUUACACACCCUGCACGGCCAGGCCGCUUUGAGGAGUGCAAUUAAUUAACGUUUGCAUCCCUGGCGCUUGCUGACCCUGCCAGACUCGGAGCAAAUCGGCCUCUGCCGACGGGUAAUGGGUUUGCUGCAGGACGAGCUAUUUCCGAGCCGGCUUUGGAAGUCAUUUGGGGUGGCUGCCGGGCGGUGCAGCCCCGUGUUGGCUGCUGGGGCUCAUCCGGAGCUCGGGGCAAUGGGCAAUGGGCAGAGGUGCAGAGGGAGCAAAGCAAGCUGUGGGGUCAGCGUGGGUCGUGCUGGGGUGCUGCUCUGGGGGCAAUGCAGGCGGGCUGGAAAGCACACACAGGUUUCCCUUGCGCAGCACAAACCCCAUCGCGUGGGUGGCACGGGUGGGAGGCAGAGGUGCGGGGACGGGACAUGGGGGUGAGCUCCCAGCCCAGAGAGGGGCAAACCCCAAUAAACGAAUGGGGCGCACAC